rnacentral:rRNA from 1 species
AACGAACGCUGGCGGCAUGCCUAACACAUGCAAGUCGAACGAGACCUUCGGGUCUAGUGGCGCACGGGUGCGUAACGCGUGGGAAUCUGCCCUUGGGUCCGGAAUAACAGUGAGAAAUUACUGCUAAUACCGGAUGAUGUCUUCGGACCAAAGAUUUAUCGCCCAGGGAUGAGCCCGCGUAAGAUUAGCUAGUUGGUGGGGUAAAGGCCUACCAAGGCGACGAUCUUUAGCUGGUCUGAGAGGAUGAUCAGCCACACUGGGACUGAGACACGGCCCAGACUCCUACGGGAGGCAGCAGUGGGGAAUAUUGGACAAUGGGCGAAAGCCUGAUCCAGCAAUGCCGCGUGAGUGAUGAAGGCCUUAGGGUUGUAAAGCUCUUUUACCCGGGAGAUAAUGACAGUACCGGGAGAAUAAGCC